UCAUUGAGUCAGAUUGGUUAAUACAAAAAUAUAUUUGUUGAGCUCACCAUACUUCUAAGAAGCCAGGCAAGUCAACAUCAAGUCAACACCGCCAUCAGAUUGAGCCACUUCUUUGCCAUCAUGAAUAAGUUUGCUGCCUUUUCUUGUCGUUCUCGCCGCUUUGCCAACGGCAUAUUCGAUCACGUGCUACGUUUGCAGUAACUCAAAUGGGGACUGCACGACGAAUGGGAUAACUUGCCUUGCUGGCGACACCUGCCAAACGACGACUACAGGAAAAACGGUCGCGAAAACAUGCACCCUUAAGAGCGCAUGUGAACUAGCGAAGACGACAUGCGAACAGUCAGGCGGCACAUGUUCGACUGAAUGCUGCAAUACAGAUCUGUGUAACAGCGGUCUCACCGCUAAGCCCAUGCUUAUAAGCCUGUUCGUUCCCAUUCUCCUAUUCCUGCGCUCGCUGUAAACCAGCUAUAGCCUCUUGCUAUUAGAGCAAUCAUCUCGUUUAGCACAACACUUACAUCCAAGUUUUUAGUUAUUUAAAUAUGAUGUGAAUGCAAUAAAAAUCGACAUGAAUUUCA